rnacentral:rRNA from 1 species
UACGUAGGUGACAAGCGUUGUCCGGAUUUACUGGGCGUAAAGAGCGCGCAGGCGGUCGAUCAAGUCGAGUGUGAAAGCCCCCGGCUCAACUGGGGAGGGUCAUUCGAUACUGAUCGACUCGAAGGCAGGAGAGGGAUGCGGAAUUCCAGGUGUAGCGGUGAAAUGCGUAGAUAUCUGGAGGAACACCGGUGGCGAAGGCGGCAUCCUGGACCAACACUGACACUGAUGAGCGAAAGCCAGGGGAGCAAACGGG